rnacentral:rRNA from 1 species
AGAGUUUGAUCCUGGCUCAGAAUCAACGCUGGCGGCGUGCCUAACACAUGCAAGUCGAGCGAGAAAGUGGAGCAAUCCAUGAGUACAGCGGCGCACGGGUGAGUAACACGUGACUAACCUACCCUCGAGUGGGGAAUAACUUCGGGAAACCGAGGCUAAUACCGCAUAAUACCCACGGGUCAAAAGAGCAAUCUGCUUGAGGAGGGGGUCGCGGCCGAUUAGUUAGUUGGCGGGGUAAUGGCCCACCAAGACGAUGAUCGGUAUCCGGCCUGAGAGGGCGCACGGACACACUGGAACUGAAACACGGUCCAGACUCCUACGGGAGGCAGCAGUGGGGAAUUUUGCGCAAUGGGGGAAACCCUGACGCAGCAACGCCGCGUGGAGGAUGAAGUCCUUCGGGACGUAAACUCCUUUCGAUCGGGACGAUGAUGACGGUACCGAGAGAAGAAGCCCCGGUUAACUUCGUGCCAGCAGCCGCGGUAAUACGAGGGGGGCGAGCGUUGUUCGGAAUUAUUGGGCGUAAAGGGUGCGUAGGCGGUUUGGUAAGUCUUAUGUGAAAUCUAUGGGCUCAACUCAUAGUCUGCAUGANAAACUGCCGGGCUUGAGUGUGG